rnacentral:rRNA from 1 species
GGUUGCAAUCGUCUUAUUAUUAAUUCUGAUAAUUUAGAGGUUAUUGAAACGAUGAAUAAUGACGGACGGUUAGCAGGAGCGGCGGCGGCAAUUUUUGAUGAUUGCUAUUUUUUGGCGUGUGAUUUUCAUAUCUCUAGGUUUGAACAUUAUAAUAGGGAAGCCAAUAAGGUUGCGCACGAGCUUGCUAGGUUGGCUAGAUUUUCUUCUACUGUUGAUUGGUUUGAGGAGCCUAUGAUUGAGAUUGUACCAUUCCUCGCAAACGAUGUAUCUGUUAUUUCAGUUGAAUAA